AUUGAACGCUGGCGGCAGGCCUAACACAUGCAAGUCGAGCGGAGCGGCGGACGGGUGAGUAAUGCCUAGGUAUCUGCCUGGUAGUGGGGGAUAACGUCCGGUAACGGGCGCUAAUACCGCACACUAUCAGAUGAGCCUAGGUCGGGUUAGCUAGUUGGUGGGGUAAGGGCCUACCAAGGCGACGAUCCGUAACUGGUCUGAGAGGAUGAUCAGUCACACUGGAACUGAGACACGGUCCAGACUCCGACGGGAGGCAGCAGUGGGGAAGCUUGGACAAUGGGCGAAAGCCUGAUCCAGCCAUGCCGCGUGUGUGAAGAAGGUCUUCGGAUUGUAAAGCACUUUAAGUUGGGAAGCGUUACCAACAGAAUAAGCACCGGCUAACUUCGUGCCAGCCGCCGCGGUAAUUC
rnacentral:rRNA from 1 species